rnacentral:rRNA from 1 species
UGGGGAAUAUUGGACAAUGGGCGCAAGCCUGAUCCAGCCAUGCCGCGUGAGUGAUGAAGGCCUUAGGGUUGUAAAGCUCUUUUNCCGGGGACGAUAAUGACGGUACCCGGAGAUAAG